CCCACCCCACCCCUUCUCUCCACUGUCUCAUUGACCAUCAUGCCGUGAGCCUGGUCAGCCUGACCUCAAAGGUUAAAGUGUUUGUUUCUCCUUACCUCUCUCUCUCUGCCUCUUUGACUCCGUUCCAUUCAACCCCACCCCACACGCAGACACACGCACGCACACACACAUGCAUGCACACACACACACACUGCCCUCUCUUUUCUCAGGCAGGGUAUCCCUCUGGACAGGUCACAAGUCAUUCACAGGGCCACACAUAGAGACCAGUGACAAACAGUCAUUCACAGGUUUUAUAGGGUUAUCAAUGAACCUAACAUGCAAGUUUUUGGGCUGAUGGAGAAACCCAGAGUUCCCGGGGAAAAAAAAAGCAUGCCACUGUUCUGCCAUGCUGCUUGACCAAAAUAACACUGUAAUAUACAAAUUUAAACUCCAGUUUACCUUCUUGUGCUCUCCUGUUGUCUGGCUGCUCAUGGGUGCGCUUCCAUGGAAACGCAUGACUCCCCCUUUCUCUUCGCUGUCCCAUUGUAUGGUAGGACAUAAGGACAGCAGUCAAUGAACCUGAGCACUUUGACUUCUGUGGUCAAAAGUGUACUGUAUUGCUGCUCUGACUCCUUCAAAAGGACAGAUGCUCGAACAAAGGCAGGAAAAAAGUUGUCCAUUUCUCCUUGCCGAUCAUAAAACACAAGACAUUCAAUCGUUCUUCUCCUAUUCUUUCUCUGUUAGCCUGACCAAUGACCAGCCUGACUUCUGAGGUCAUGAGAAAACAUUUUCUACUGCAAGCACCAUUGUUUGAGAAAAAAAGGUGGGAAAAUUUCUCUAUAAAAGUAGACCUCUGCGGAUCAGUAUCCAUUUUCAAUCUUCUCGCCUCGCUAGAGCCUUCCAGCCUUGUUCUUGAUUUUUUUUGCUUUUGCAUCCUUGUAAACAGAACUACUUCAUCAAUAAACAAAGGAGAAAACUAUGGCCGAAGUUCACAACCACCGCACAGGUUCAUGCUGUUAUUUCUGAUGGUGAAUAAUUUGCUUGUUUUGAUCUUGAUCAGAUAACAAACAGCGCACCCAAAGAAACGAAAGUGGGCUUUUAUUAAAAAGAGGGUUCACAUCGUGCAUCUGUCAGCUCACCGCAACUGCAGAAUCACCGU